GCCCGGGUGGCGAAAUUGGUAGACGCAACGGACUUAAAAUCCGUUGACCCUUGGGUCGUGCGGGUUCAAGUCCCGCCCCGGGCACCA
rnacentral:tRNA from 1 species